UUGACUAUUAAAAGUAUCAGUAAUCUUGGGAUCAAGAGCUGUCUCAGCAGGUAAAAAGUUUGCCUCUAAGCCCAAGCCUGAUGACCUGAGUUUGACCUCUAAAGCUGGCAUGGUAGACAAGGAGAGUAGGUGCCCACAAGUUAUCUUUGACCUCCACAUGUGCCUCCUGGGAUCCGCAUGCACACCCAUAAUAAAUACAUGUAAUAAAAGCUUUUUAAAAUAAUCACUCAUCUUAUAGCCUAGCCUUCAAAGUAGUGUGAGACCGGAGAUUGUUCUAAGUUGCUGUCAUGUAAACUGUCACAAGGCACCACUUGUUGUCCAACAAUCCCAGUUAUAAUCACUAUGUGGUUAAAUAAAAGACAAAGCACACUUAUUUUCAUAAUAUUUAGGUUCAUUUCUGAUGCUGAAGUCAUGAUCAAGCCUCUUAUUUAUUAUGAGAUUCUUAUAAUCCUUUAAAAUGCAUCCAGUUAUGAUGGCCAUUUCCUGCUACCAUCUAUCUGUUCUUUGAGUGCUGGAGUCAUGGCGUGUGGUACCCACAAUAUUUAGAAAUCUGUUGAAAGUGUAGAGGUAGCAAGGAGGAAGAGGAAGAGGAGUGAGCAAAGAAGACUCCCUGGAGGAGGCAGAGCCACAGUGCUCAUGUUAGGGCUUCAGUGACAGAUAAGCUGAGGUGUCUGGAGGCAACGGCAUUGCCUCUCAAGGGAGCCAGUGAAAUAUCCUUGGCUUUAAGUGUUCAGAUCCCUGGGUUCUCCCCUAUUUGUUGUGUGCACAAGGAAGAAUUACUUCUCUGACACUUUGAUUUCUUAUUUGGAAAUUUAUACAUAGGAAAAUACAGCAUAUUAUACAUCUAAGUCAUGGUAAGCUAAUAAAGACAUCUUAGCUCUGCUUGCUUCCUAAGGGACUCGAUGAGAGACACCAAUAGCACAGACAGAGACUUGUCUGUGGUUGGUCAGCUUUAGUUGGUUUGGAAGAUUUGAAAUUAAGUGCCCCUUGUACUGGGGAGUUGUCAGUAGGAACCUAGACACAUUAACCAACUCUAAAAGAAGGGACACUUCUAAUGUCUGAAAACAGUUCCUCCCUUGUUAAUGUUCUCCUACUGUUGCAUGUUGGAGGGCAUAAGUAGGGAAUGAUGAUGGGGGAUCCAGGAACAGAACAGCAAUACUAGCUAGAAAGCAUUGCUAUGGAGAACUCGUGGGAAGCAAAGGCCAUACCUCCUGGUUAUACUGCAGGAAAACAGCAACAGGAAAUAGUGGUAGUUUCCUAAUCUUUUAAUUCAGAGAAUGGAAUAUUUGAAACAAUCGGCGGUUAGCUUACUCUGAAUGACAUACUCUGUGUGUUUCAGGCAAUGCUUAUCAUAAGUUGCCUGUAGUGAGUGCCACCAUUUUCCAGAUGAGGUCACGGAGGCUAAGUAAUUUGGCCAAGGCCUCAGAGCUCACAAGGGAGCUGGGAUCAAAAUCCAGGUCUCCUUCUCAUUAGUUCUGGUUAGUCCGUAUUCCUCCUGAUUAGUCAUCCUAAGCAACAUGCUUGUGUCCCAGCAGUUAGAGUUCCUCUCAUUGCCCCGUGGACUGUCUUCCACUUAAACAGUAACCCUUGGUAGAGGGUCCUUGUCUGUUUACAAGGCUAAGUUAAUGGGAGGUGAGGCAUUGUGUUGGCAGGAGAACCGGGACAGAUGAAGUCAGAUGAAAAAUGUUAGUCUAUGAAGUCACUACUUAUUCAUUCAAUAAUCAAAAUAUGGACUUAGAUGUGCUUUGUAUUAAGUAAUGCUUGGGAUAAAAUAACGACAAAUGAGAAGGAUCCAUCAUUUAUUAUGAGAUAUAAAACAUCAAGUGACAGCUGGGUUUGGUGGCACUUUUUACAUUACAGCAGUUGAGCAGAGGUGGGAAGAUUUCUAAGAGUUCAAGGCCAGUUUAUACCAAGAGUUUUAGUCCAGCCAAAGCCAUAUACUGAGACUCUAUAUUACCCCCACCCAAAUACUCCCAAAACACCAAACCCCACAAAACUCCAAACUCUCUCAAACAAAAAGUCAUGUGAUUUUACACAUGAUAGGUAUUUAUAAUUGUCACUCUUACGCAACUUAAAAUCAUCUUGAAAUAGAUUCUCAAUGGGUAAUUGCCUAGAUAGGUUGGCCUACAGGUAUGCCUGUGAGGGAUUUUUAUUAAGUAUGUUUAUGAGGUAAGACCCACUUUGAAUGUGGGUAGCACCAUUCCAUGGUCUGGGCUACGAUCUGUACAAAAGUAGAGAAAGUUGCCUGAACAUUAAAUAUGCAUGUAUUAAUUUUUCUGGGAUGUGAUAUGACCAGAUGUUUUAAGUUCUGCCACCUUGACUUUUCUGCUAUAAAUUGUAAUGUGGAACUGCGAGUUAAAACAAACCCUUCUCUAAAUUGAUUUCUGCCAGGGUCCUUUAUCCCAGGGACAGAAAUAACUAGGACAUCAUUGUGAGAAAAGAGUAAUAACAGAGUAGGAUGUGAGCUGUGAUCUCUGCACUGAGGUGAUCUGCUGUGCCUUGGAGUUUCAGAAAAGUCUGUACGCAACAAGAUAACCAUAGGAGACUGUUGGACAAUGUUAGUGGGAGGACCUACCCUCUGGGUUUAGGUUGGAUUCAGCCACUGGAUAACAUUGUCAGGAGAUUAAUUAGCAAAAAAGACUUUUUUUCCCUGAGGGUUUGACUUUUUGGGGUCCUCAUGUUUUGUCUUCUUUAUCACUUGACUGAACACUGUGGCUAGUGUUAGGUGGCUUUUGCUAUGUGGGCAUGUUUUUAAUAACUGCUUCCUUUCUUUGCUUUUUCAGGUUCCAAGAUAGUAAACCCAUUGUUACCAGUCAUUUGAGGCAGACAUUUCAUUAUAAUCCCUCCUUCAUAUCGUUUAACAUAAUCUCUACAUUAAAACUUCACAGAAAAAUACGUUUUUGGCCACGUGGAACUCGUCCUUGUGAUCAGCUUGAACUCAUGAGAACGUUACUCGUUCAACCUGUUGUAACCCUUAGAGUAUAAACCAAGGUUCUGAAUAAAAUUGGCUAUUGCAUAAGA
rnacentral:sRNA from 1 species